AACAUUUUUAUUCAUAAAUAGUGAGUGUCUAUGUCAUCUUUUAACCACCCCUCUGCCUUUUGUAAAUACACCCAGAUUGGCAGUACAGACCUGCUCAGGCACAUUAUAAGUCAUUAUAAGUCACCUCACCCAUCAUUAUCUCUUUCCCAGGCGUUUGAGGUUUGGCAUCUUUCCCAAGUACAGAUUCUGCUCCCACUCUCUCUGCCCAACCAGUUCCACCAGUAUUGGAGACAUAGUUGCUGUUUGAAUAUGUUUCUUAUUCCUUCUUUUAGUAUCACCAGUGCUGCUCUGCUUUGCUCUACUGGAUUUUAACAGCUUGUAGGGAUGCCAAGAGGUUUAUGAAGUACACGCUCAAAAUUGCAAUACUGGUUGAACGACUGCUGUGGUUUCGGGGCGCUGCAGCAGAACCACCAUUGGAGAGCGGUAAAUGUGGUGCUGAAUGAUAAGCCUGAGGAGGAGGAAGAGAGAAAUGUUCUUAGGAAACUAAAGAACUGACCCCAGAAAGAAAGUAUUGGGGAAGCGAUGGACCCAGAGAGCCGAAUGCAGGAGGAGGAUGUUGUGUCUCAUAUAAUCCACAAGGGGGAGACAGAGAGGGAAGAGUUGGUCGGGCAGAUCCUGGACAUGGAGGAGAUGUGUAACAUGUGUGAUACAUUGUGUUCCUUACUGGCACAGGAAUCACAUGGAGCUGCACUGUGUGGGGCUGAGGGGGCACAUAAUGAGGGGGGCACAGAUGGGAUAAUGGCCCCUGGAUUGGCUCAUAUUGUGCUGGGUAUAAGGAGACUGAUCUAUGGGCA